rnacentral:rRNA from 1 species
GUGGGGGAUAUUGCGCAAUGGGGGAAACCCUGACGCAGCAAUGCCGCGUGAAGGAAGAAGGUCUUCGGAUCGUAAACUUUUGUCUUCAGGGACGAUAAUGACGGUACCUGAGGAGGAAGCCACGGCUAACUACGUGCCAGCAGCCGCGGUAAUACGUAGGUGGCAAGCGUUGUCCGGAUUUACUGGGUGUAAAGGGCGUGUAGGCGGGAUGGUAGGUCAGAUGUGAAAUACCUAGGCUCAACCUAGGGGCUGCAUUUGAAACCACCGUUCUUGAGUGUCGGAGAGGGAAGCGGAAUUCCUAGUGUAGCGGUGAAAUGCGUAGAUAUUAGGAGGAACACCAGUGGCGAAGGCGGCUUUCUGGACGAUAACUGACGCUGAGGCGCGAAAGCGUGGGUAGCAAACAGGAUUAGAAACCCUAGUAGUCC